CUACAACCCCCUCCGUGCCCAUUGCCGCGGAAGCUUUUCUAGACUGGGUCACGGACGUUACAGACGCAACCUCUACUAACUUCCUCGCUGAAAUGGCUUGGAGCCUAUCCUCGCUAGGGCUAUCACAGGAUGGAGUUGACCCCGUCGCUGACUCUGAAGUGAUGUUGAAGAUCAUCACAGAGUUUUGGGGCGCAUUUCAAUUGAGGCGCCAAGAUGAAGGUACAGCGGAAGAAUGCAUUUCACUACGGAAAUAGAUCAGAUCUUUUACCCCAGGGUUUUUCAAAGACGGGGUUGGGUGUGGUUAUGUGUGGGAGGAAGGAUACUUGAUGUGGAUGUGGUAGGAUGUCAUCGAGGGAGAAAUAAAACACGGUGAAGAGAGAGGAUAGAAGAAGAGUGCCGUUUAUAUAUAAUGUGUAGCUUAAUAUAUCGGUGAGUGAUGUGAUAUGAACCAAAUUAAUCC
rnacentral:sRNA from 1 species